rnacentral:rRNA from 1 species
UGGGGAAUCUUGCACAAUGGGGGCAACCCUGAUGCAGCCAUGCCGCGUGCGCGAUGACGGUCUUCGGAUUGUAAAGCGCUUUUGGCGGGGACGACGAUGACGGUACCCGCAGAAUAAGUCACGGCUAACUUCGUGCCAGCAGCCGCGGUAAUACGAAGGUGGCGAAUGUUGUUCGGAUUUACUGGGCGUAAAGCGUCCGCAGGUGGUUUGUUAAGUCAGGUGUGAAAGCCCCGCGCUCAACGUGGGAAUUGCACUUGAAACUGGCUGACUAGAAGGCGAGAGAGGUGGGCGGAAUUGCAGGUGUAGAAGUGAAAUUCGUAGAUAUCUGCAGGAACACCCAUGGCGAAGGCAGUUCACUGGCUCGCCCUUGACACUCAUGGACGAAAGCGUGGGGAGCAAA